UCUUCCGUAGUAUAGUGGUCAGUAUGUGAGCUUGUCAACCAUCAACAACAACGCUCGAGACCCGGGUUCAAUUCCCGGCGGGAGAG